GUGAGGAAUUUUGCGCAAUGGGGGCAACCCUGACGCAGCAACGCCGCGUGAGUGAUGAAGGCUUUCGGGUCGUAAAGCUCUGUCAAGUGGGAAGAACCUGUUUAUUGUGAAUAGCAGUAGACACUGACGGUACCACUGAAGGAAGCACCGGCUAACUCCGUGCCAGCAGCCGCGGUAAUACGGAGGGUGCAAGCGUUAUUCGGAUUUACUGGGCGUAAAGGGCGCGUAGGCGGUUGAUCAAGUCUGAUGUGAAAUCCCGGGGCUCAACCCCGGAAGUGCAUUUGAAACUGGUCGGCUUGAGUAUGGUAGAGGGAAGUGGAAUUCCUGGUGUAGCGGUGAAAUGCGUAGAUAUCAGGAGGAACACCGGUGGCGAAGGCGACUUCCUGGACCAAAACUGACGCUGAGGCGCGAAGGUGUGGGGAGCAAACAGGAUUAGAAACCCCAGUAGUCC
rnacentral:rRNA from 1 species